CCCUUAGAUGUUCUGGGCCGCACGCGCGCUACACUGACAGAGCCAACGAGUUCUAUCCAUUCCUUGGCCGGAAGGCCUGGGUAAUCUUGUUAAACUCUGUCGUGCUGGGGAUAGAGCAUUGCAAUUAUUGCUCUUGAACGAGGAAUGCCUAGUAAGCGCGUGUCAUCAGCACGCGUUGAUUACGUCCCUGCCCUUUGUACACACCGCCCGUCGCUACUACCGAUCGGAUUGUCCUGUGAAUUUCUAGGAGAGUUGAGGUCCUGGCGCUUCGGUGUCGGCGACCUCAUGCUUGAAUUGAAUUGAACUGGACUCUCUAGAGGAAGUAAAAGUCGUAACA
rnacentral:rRNA from 1 species